UACGGAGGGGGCUAGCGUUGUUCGGAAUUACUGGGCGUAAAGCGCACGUAGGCGGCUUUGUAAGUUAGAGGUGAAAGCCCGGGGCUCAACUCCGGAAUUGCCUUUAAGACUGCAUCGCUAGAAUUGUGGAGAGGUAAGUGGAAUUCCGAGUGUAGAGGUGAAAUUCGUAGAUAUUCGGAAGAACACCAGUGGCGAAGGCGACUUACUGGACACAUAUUGACGCUGAGGUGCGAAAAGCGUGGGGAGCCAAACAGG
rnacentral:rRNA from 1 species